rnacentral:rRNA from 1 species
AGUGAACGCUGGCGGUAGGCCUAACACAUGCAAGUCGAACGGCAGCACAGUAAGAGCUUGCUCUUACGGGUGGCGAGUGGCGGACGGGUGAGGAAUACAUCGGAAUCUACUUUUUCGUGGGGGAUAACGUAGGGAAACUUACGCUAAUACCGCAUACGACCUACGGGUGAAAGCAGGGGAUCUUCGGACCUUGCGCGAUUGAAUGAGCCGAUGUCGGAUUAGCUAGUUGGCGGGUAAAGGCCCACCAAGGCGACGAUCCGUAGCUGGUCUGAGAGGAUGAUCAGCCACACUGGAACUAAGACACGGUCCAGACUCCUACGGGAGGCAGCAGUGGGGAAUAUUGGACAAUGGGCGCAAGCCUGAUCCAGCCAUACCGCGUGGGUGAAGAAGGCCUUCGGGUUGUAAAGCCCUUUUGUUGGGAAAGAAAAGCAGCAGGUUAAUACCCCGCUGUUCUGACGGUACCCAAAGAAUAAGCACCGGCUAACUUCGUG